AUACGGAGGAUCCGAGCGUUAUCCGGAUUUAUUGGGUUUAAAGGGUGCGCAGGCGGGAGAUUAAGUCGGCGGUGAAAUUUUGCAGCUCAACUGUAAAAGUGCCUUCGAAACUGGUUUCCUUGAGUGUAGAUGAAGUAGGCGGAAUUUGUGGUGUAGCGGUGAAAUGCAUAGAUAUCACGAGGAACUGCGAUUGCGCAGGCAGCUUACUAAACUACUACUGACGCUCAGGCACGAAGGCGUGGGGAUCAAACAGGAUUAGAUACCCUGGUAGUCCACGCAGUAAACGAUGAUUACUAGCUGUUUGCGAUACAAUGUAAGCGGCUGAGCGAAAGCGUUAAGUAAUCCACCUGGGGAGUACGUUCGCAAGAAUGAAACUCAAAUGAAUUGACGGGG
rnacentral:rRNA from 1 species